rnacentral:rRNA from 1 species
AAAUUGAAGAGUUUGAUCAUGGCUCAGAUUGAACGCUGGCGGCAGGCCUAACACAUGCAAGUCGAGCGGCAGCGGGGAGUAGUUUACUACUUUGCCGGCGAGCGGCGGACGGGUGAGUAAUGUCUGGGAAACUGCCUGAUGGAGGGGGAUAACUACUGGAAACGGUAGCUAAUAC